rnacentral:rRNA from 1 species
GGAGAAGGCUAUGUUGGCCGGGCGACGGUUGUCCCGGUUUAAGCGUGUAGGCUGGUUUUCCAGGCAAAUCCGGAAAACCAAGGCUGAGGCGUGAUGACGAGGCACUACGGUGCUGAAGCGACAAAUGCCCUGCUUCCAGGAAAAGCCUCUAAGCAUCAGGUAACAUCAAAUCGUACCCCAAACCGACACAGGUGGUCAGGUAGAGAAUACCAAGGCGCUUGAGAGAACUCGGGUGAAGGAACUAGGCAAAAUGGUGCCGUAACUUCGGGAGAAGGCACGCUGAUAUGUAGGUGAAGCGACUUGCUCGUGGAGCUGAAAUCAGUCGAAGAUACCAGCUGGCUGCAACUGUUUAUUAAAAACACAGCACUGUGCAAACACGAAAGUGGACGUAUACGGUGUGACGCCUGCCCGGUGCCGGAAGGUUAAUUGAUGGGGUUAGCGGUAACGCGAAGCUCUUGAUCGAAGCCCCGGUAAACGGCGGCCGUAACUAUAACGGUCCUAAGGUAGCGAAAUUCCUUGUCGGGUAAGUUCCGACCUGCACGAAUGGCGUAAUGAUGGCCAGGCUGUCUCCACCCGAGACUCAGUGAAAUUGAACUCGCUGUGAAGAUGCAGUGUACCCGCGGCAAGACGGAAAGACCCCGUGAACCUUUACUAUAGCUUGACACUGAACAUUGAGCCUUGAUGUGUAGGAUAGGUGGGAGGCUUUGAAGUGUGGACGCCAGUCUGCAUGGAGCCGACCUUGAAAUACCACCCUUUAAUGUUUGAUGUUCUAACGUUGGCCCGUAAUCCGGGUUGCGGACAGUGUCUGGUGGGUAGUUUGACUGGGGCGGUCUCCUCCUAAAGAGUAACGGAGGAGCACGAAGGUUGGCUAAUCCUGGUCGGACAUCAGGAGGUUAGUGCAAUGGCAUAAGCCAGCUUGACUGCGAGCGUGACGGCGCGAGCAGGUGCGAAAGCAGGUCAUAGUGAUCCGGUGGUUCUGAAUGGAAGGGCCAUCGCUCAACGGAUAAAAGGUACUCCGGGGAUAACAGGCUGAUACCGCCCAAGAGUUCAUAUCGACGGCGGUGUUUGGCACCUCGAUGUCGGCUCAUCACAUCCUGGGGCUGAAGUAGGUCCCAAGGGUAUGGCUGUUCGCCAUUUAAAGUGGUACGCGAGCUGGGUUUAGAACGUCGUGAGACAGUUCGGUCCCUAUCUGCCGUGGGCGCUGGAGAACUGAGGGGGGCUGCUCCUAGUACGAGAGGACCGGAGUGGACGCAUCACUGGUGUUCGGGUUGUCAUGCCAAUGGCACUGCCCGGUAGCUAAAUGCGGAAGAGAUAAGUGCUGAAAGCAUCUAAGCACGAAACUUGC